GUAGCACAGAGGAGCUUGCUCCUUGGGUGACGAGUGGCGGACGGGUGAGUAACGUCUGGAAACUGCCCGAUGGAGGGGGAUAACUACUGGAAACGGUAGCUAAUACCGCAUAACGUCGCAAGACCAAAGAGGGGGACCUUCGGGCCUCUUGCCAUCGGAUGUGCCCAGAUGGGAUUAGCUAGUAGGUGGGGUAACGGCUCACCUAGGCGACGAUCCCUAGCUGGUCUGAGAGGAUGACCAGCCACACUGGAACUGAGACACGGUCCAGACUCCUACGGGAGGCAGCAGUGGGGAAUAUUGCACAAUGGGCGCAAGCCUGAUGCAGCCAUGCCGCGUGUAUGAAGAAGGCCUUCGGGUUGUAAAGUACUUUCAGCGAGGAGGAAGGUGUUGUGGUUAAUAACCGCAGCAAUUGACGUUACUCGCAGAAGAAGCACCGGCUAACUCCGUGCCAGCAGCCGCGGUAAUACGGAGGGUGCAAGCGUUAAUCGGAAUUACUGGGCGUAAAGCGCACGCAGGCGGUCUGUCAAGUCGGAUGUGAAAUCCCCGGGCUCAACCUGGGAACUGCAUCCGAAACUGGCACGCUAGAGCCUUGUAGAGGGGGGUAGAAUUCCAGGUGUAGCGGUGAAAUGCGUAGAGAUCUGGAGGAAUACCGGUGGCGAAUGCCGGCCCCCUGGACAAAGACUGACG
rnacentral:rRNA from 1 species